CCACAACAAUGGCCGCCGCCAAUGUCCCAGUCCCUGGAGAGGUCUCACCCCUCACCGAGAUGCACUCAGAGCCUAUUAGUCAUAGGUGCAUCAAAAUAUAGCCAGCUCUCUUGCAGAGAUGAGAUUUCUUGAGAAGAAAGCAUAAGGAUCAAGAGACUUAGCAGGACUCAGAAUAAUGACUGCAGAGGCCCAGUCAAGAAGGUGUUGGGGCCACAGAAGCAUCCAAGUAGAAGUUUCGCUGUGACCAUGCUAUGGCCAAAGCUACAUGAAAAUCAGUCUGUAAGCAUCGUAAAUAUAAGGUCUAGAAGAAAUAUGCAUACGCACACAGAAUGCUUCACAAUCUUGUGAUAAUCUCACAUGAUGAAGCAGACUCCUAUACAGAAGCUGUUUUAUUUUCUUCAUGCUUUCACUGAAAUUACCAACUAUUUCCCCAAAGCCUUGUUAUCCUUUUACCCCCCACCAUAACACAUAUGUGUUUUACGUUAAAUAAUUGAAACCUAUUGAAAAUUCCCUCCAGGUAAACAUAUCUUCCAAGUUUUGACCAUUGCUUGGUAGGGAGAGAAAAAAAGGAGUUGGGAACAAGAAGAUUGGAUCCUUUUCCAGGAAACAAUAUAAUGGAAACAAAAGACCCUAUGAUGACCUGAGUAUCUAGCAGUAGCAGUAGAACUUUAGAAAUCUAAAUGUCUUUUCUGAAUUAUAUCAUAUCUUCAAAUUAUUGCCUCUUGUAGCUGCUUCUUAGGGCAAGUAGAUACCAGAUAAGUACAAGUCAAAGAUUUGGUGAUAGCUCCUACUGAGUUCCAACUCGGUGUUUUCUUACUGUGUUUCAUCUUGCUUUUGAGUAUGAAUUUGUGUCACAGACACAAUUAGUAGUUUCCACAUUAACAGCACAAGCCUAUAGUGAGCACUGGUUUCUCCCGCAGUUCUUAAACAUCUGUGAUUCCUGGACACAGAGUCCAAGCUUCCCCUCAGAGAUUCUCAGUUUAUCUGGAUUGGGGCCCAGGCUUCCGCGUCAUUAAAUGCUCCCCAGGUUAGUCCCACCAUUAUCAGGUUUAGGAAUCACAGGCAAAGUCCACCCACGU